AUGUAAUAUCUCUAGCCUGACUACCCUCCAACCAAACAUUAACUUCUACUCCCCUUAAUUAAAUUAAAACAUUUUAAAUAUUAAGUAUAUGAGAUAAAAAAAUAUCCAGAGCUAUAGCUAAAGUACCGUAAGGGAAAGAUGAAAUAGAAAUGAAAUAACCUCACACACCAAAAACCAGAGAUCUCACCUCGUACCUUUGCAUCAUGGCCUAACAAGUCUAAUCAGCCAAACGGAAUUUAGUCUGACCUCCGCAACUAAGUGAGCUACUCCGGGGCUACUUGAUGUUAAACCCGUCUCUGUAGCAAAAGAGUGGGGAGACCCCCGAGUAGAGGCAACAAACCUAUCGAACUUAGUAAUAGCUGGUUGCUUAGGAAAAGGAUUUAAGUUCUUUCUUAAAAAUAUAUUAGCAAAACUAAGCAAACUCAAUUUUUAAGAACUAUUCAAUAAAGGUCCAGCUUUAUUGAAAAAGGAGACAACCUAAAAUUUAGGAUAAUGAUUAUACCCUUAUAGGUUAAAGGCUAAGUUGGCCUAAAAGCAGCUAUCUUUAAAAAAGCGUCAAAGCUUCACCUUAAGAAUACCUUAAAUCUCAUUACACUAUCAAAAUCCAUCAUUACUACUAAGCUAUUCUAUAUCUUUAUAGAAAAAUUUAUGUUAGGACUAGUAACACAGAAUUAUUUCUCUUAUAUGUAAGCUUAAAUCAACCCGAAUAUCUCCUUGAUAAUUAUUCAACUUUGAUCCUAGAGUAACACCAUUUUACUUACAAAAACCCUACUCAAUUUAUUGUUAACCAAACACUUGAACAUAAAAGAAAGAUAAAAGAAUUAAGAAGGAACUCGGCAAACACAAGUCCCGCCUGUUUACCAAAAACAUCGCCUUUUGAAUAAUAUAAAAGGUAACGCCUGCCCAGUGACACUAUGUUUAACGGCCGCGGUAUUCUGACCGUGCGAAGGUAGCGUAAUCAUUUGUCUUUUAAAUGGAGACUUGUAUGAAAGGCAUCACGAGGACUUAACUGUCUCCUUAAUUAAUCAGUGAAACUGAUCCCCCCGUAAAAAAGCAGGGAUAAAACCAUAAGACGAGAAGACCCUAUGGAGCUUAAAACAAUAAACUACUUGUAUAAUCUGCUAUUAAAUACCACUAAAAUACAAAUCUAGCCUAAGUUUUCUGUUGGGGCGACUGUGGAGAAAAACUCAUCCUCCAUGAAGAAUAAACUUUGAGCUACCACUCUUAGUAUUAGCAAGCCUAACUUAAAUUGAUCCAAUAUUUGAUCAACGGACCAAGUUACCCUAGGGAUAACAGCGCAAUCUAUUUCAAGAGUCCCUAUCGACAAAUAGGUUUACGACCUCGAUGUUGGAUUAGGACAUCCUAGUGGUGUAGCCGCUACUAAC
rnacentral:rRNA from 1 species